CUCAUCCUUCCCGAGUAAUCGCGUCCAGUUCGUUUAUCGACCCGAUCCUACCUCGCAUUUUCUCCCAUACGUUACAGGUAUGCGUGCUCGUCAGACGUUACGACGUUUAUGUUUACCUCGAAGCCGACUUGUGUCGUCCCUUCGAAGGCGUCGGAAACCGCAGUCGGGCCGCGGCCGUGACGCCGUGCGUCGCGACGCCAGCCCCUCUCGUCCGGUUUCUUCGAUCUCCGAUGAACACAAGAUUUCCGACUUCGGCACCGUUCAUCUUGCGAUAAAUUCUUCGAAAAUUGGCGAACCGAGAUCUACGUGGAAGCUGCUCUUCCGCUUAUCUGGAUUGGAGUGGUAACAACGCGAGAUGCGCUGCCGCAAAUGAUUCCAAUCCACCCAACAAUGGACCGUAAGCUGACAACGAACCGAUCGAGUUUUACUGCCUGCUCGGCGACUAGACAAAACUUCUACAGACGGCACAUUCAACCCUUGUCGCUAUUCAGCUGCGAUUUUUCACUCGUGUACGUGAAAUACACGAUGAUUCCUCAGUUUCGUAAAGCACAAUGAGAGAUCUCAGUUUCUGAAAAAUUCUACAACUCAUCCAACGUUGACGCCUAUCUUUGUUGGGAAAGCUGCGAUAGCGGAAACGCUAAUGAAACGAAUGUAUUUUUCUUUGUGGCAAUUAACCUGCAAUUAACACGGGAUAUAAAUUAGCUGCGUUACGAUUCCGUCCACCACAAUUUUUAACGAUAGUAAUACGGUAUGAGAAUUACUCUCUGAUUAUAAUAUUCGGAAAUAAAUGUGCGGUUUGUGUUAUGACGAUAAUUAAAUUGUACUUCGAUUUUUUUUUUAUGAAAACAGAUAUUCAACCGAGAGUUGGAUGCGGAAUUACGACGAUUAUCAAUGGCUAUAACAUAUAGUUUAUUUCACCAUAGGUACACGUAGAAUUAUAUGUUUAUCGAAACACGUAAUAACUGCAAGAAUUCACGGAUGCCGAGUUAAUUACAUUUUCAAAAUUGUUGUAUUGAUUCACCAAGCGUCAGGCAGGCACUGAAUAUGAUCGGUUUACUAUCUGUUAUUGGAUUUUUACGAGUAGCCAAAGGUUGCUUCUCUAUUGUCCAGCUGCGGAGCGGAUAUGAGCCCAUCUGUUCAUCAUUACGAAUUAAUCAUUAGCUGUUGGGUUUCGAUGUGGUUAACGUUGACGAACACGAAUGACGGGUUGAGUUUGAUUGUUGUUCAUGUUAGUCACGUUAUUAUAGCGUUUUCGUGAUUGGUGUUUGUGAUUUGCAAACUUAAUGUUAGAGGGGAGAAAACCGAGUGUUUAAAUGAAUAUUCCCGCAAUUGAUUUCGCGCGUUAUGUAUUAACUUUUGGGGAUUAGAAAUAAGACAAGUCAUGAGUGUCUAUAUUCUCGAUGUUGCCUGAAUGUUAUACUUAUAAGUGUCUGUGUGUUACGGAGUUGAAUAGUUAAUCGUUUGAUGCAGUUAGAAAUUUUGCCAAAACUCAUUUUAGUGUUGCCCAAAUUACACGCAAAUACUGUAAACAUUUUUCCUCACGAAUCGAUAAUGCAGCAUAAUAAAUAUUAUCUAGACUUAUCUGUAAUCAGUCAGUAAAUUAAUCGAGCGUGUAACUUUUCGCAGUCGUCUAUAUUAGAUACGUAGCUUCGGAGUGCGAGGAUAGUAUGUAUUUGGAAAAUUGAUAAUAAAAUAUAUAGCGUGUGGUUUGAAA
rnacentral:lncRNA from 1 species